rnacentral:lncRNA from 1 species
UUGGAGCCAGAUUCUUGUUGGUGGGUUGAUGUUGAAGAGCCUCCUUCUUAUUGCGUAGAAAGCCCUGAGUGCCUUCUCCCUCAGUGCCUCUCUCCCUCUCUCUCUCUCCCUGCAGCUCCUGUGUCAGGUGCUGGAACAGGGUGGAGAUGUCUUCCGCCUGCAGCACCUGCAGGUAAACCCCCUCCUCUCCAAUCUCUCACGUCGAGGUGUCCAAGCGUCCGCGUCUGACUGGGGCUCUCCGGGCGGACAUGUUGCGUGAGUCUCCCUGAGACCUCUCUCCAUCUCCGAUCCAGGGCUUCGACUUCCUGGUGCGAGACUGGACCCAGUCUGCGGAGCUGGGCGAGAAUGGGGGAGCCCAGCACCUGGACAAGAUCGUCCAGGUAAGAGGACAGGAGCCAGCGCCCCCUACAGGCUGGGGUACAGAUACUGCAGACUGGUCAGAGCGCCCCUACAGGCUGGGGUACAGAUACUCCAGACUGGUCAGAGCACCCCUACAGGCUGGGGUACAGCCCCCUACAGGUGUCAUGUCCUCCUGUGUUUCAGCGCCUGCAGGACUCCGGCACGUACGAACAGGCUCUCAGGAUCCUGAGGGAGAGGAGGCCGAGCUGCUUCCUGCUGCCCUUCCCUGGGAACAGGCUGGUCUGGAGCCAACGAGGGUCGGUCCAAGACAUGGAUGAGGAGUUUCAGGUCCACCUGAAGGACUAUAUCAACCACACCGCCCAGGUCCUGGAGAGAAGGCAGCCCACCGAGACUGGAGCGACACUGGCAGGGAAGUUCAAGGAAGCAGCUCGUGUCAUUCUUCAAGGCAAAUACAGCAUUUCCUCCCCUGCAGAGGUGAGUCUCCCUGAAGCACAGGAAAAACUACUCAACUGUCUGUCAGUGCGGGACCCUCCCACCAGACUGAAGAGACUCAGUUCCCUCAGCCUGUCCGUGUGGGACACUCCCUUCAGACUGAAGAGACUCAGUUCCCUCAGCCUGUCAGUGCGGGAGAUUCCCUUCAGACUGAAGAGACUCAGUUCC